AAUCGAUGCCGCGUGUAAAGAGAGUGCCACGCUCUUUGCACGUUAAGAACCCUUGCAACAACUCUUUUGAGGGGUCCGUAGGUGGCCUGUUGCAAGGCAAAAUUUCUGUCCCUAUCCAAGAUACCCUCAUUUUCCAGUGGCAGUCCAAAUUUCCCCGACCAUCAUCCCAGAUGGCCUCUAUCGUAUCAACCUACCUAUUGUAUUUAUUGUGAACUGUUCUCGUCCUGAAUAUGCAUGAAAUAUUUGCCACUGGACGUUAAGCAACCAACAAUCAAUCAAU
rnacentral:lncRNA from 1 species